CAGCCCUAAACGAUGCGCGUUAGGUGUAUCGGUGACCACGAGUCACCGAGGUGCCGAAGGGAAACCGUGAAACGUGCCGCCUGGGAAGUACGGUCGCAAGGCUGAAACUUAAAGGAAUUGGCGGGGGAGCACCACAACGAGUGGAGCUUGCGGUUUAAUUGGAUUCAACGCCGGAAAUCUUACCGGGACCGACAGCAACAUGAAGGCCAGGCUGAAGACUUUGCCGGAUUAGCUGAGAGGAGGUGCAUGGGUAGUCGUGU
rnacentral:rRNA from 1 species